rnacentral:rRNA from 1 species
AUUGAACGCUGGCGGCAUGCUUUACACAUGCAAGUCGAACGGUAACAGGCCGCAAGGUGCUGACGAGUGGCGAACGGGUGAGUAAUGCAUCGGAACGUGCCCAGUCGUGGGGGAUAACGCAGCGAAAGCUGCGCUAAUACCGCAUACGAUCUAUGGAUGAAAGCGGGGGACCGAAAGGCCUCGCGCGAUUGGAGCGGCCGAUGUCAGAUUAGGUAGUUGGUGGGGUAAAGGCCCACCAAGCCAACGAUCUGUAGCUGGUCUGAGAGGACGACCAGCCACAAUGGGACUGAGACACGGCCAAGACUCCUACGGGAGGCAGCAGUGGGGAAUUUUGGACAAUGGGCGCAAGCCUGAUCCAGCAAUGCCGCGUGCAGGAAGAAGGCCUUCGGGUUGUAAACUGCUUUUGUACGGAACGAAACGGUCCGGGUUAAUACCCUGGGCUAAUGACGGUACCGUAAGAAUAAGCACCGGCUAACUACGUGCCAGCCGCCGCCGUAAUAC